ensembl:lncRNA
GCAGGACCCUGCUGCCUCUUUAGAUGAAAUGGUCCAGACAGCCACCAAUACCUUUUAUAACAGAGAACAGGAGAAGGAGGCCAAGGCCCAGGAGAAGGAGAGAAAGAAAGAGACAAGGCAUGCCCGGAUGCUGGCCGCCCUCCAGAGAAGCCCUAUGGCAAACCCCGAGUCCUUGAAGGACAAGGCAUGAGACAAAUGCCUGAUCUGUAGACAGGCGGGGCAUUGGGCCAAAGAGUGUCCAAACCGUGACAAGUCUCCUAGAACGGCUUGCCACAAAUGCCAUCAACUGGGACAUUGGGCCGCACUCUGCCCUCGGGACCCAAGAACCUCAAGGUCAAGUGCCAAGCCUACCCUCACGAUGGUUCAAGAGGACUGAAGCGGCCCGCUCCAGCCAGCCCACCUGUCACAGAUAACCAUCACGGGGGCACGGAGCCAAGGGUGCAACUGGAUGUGGCAGAAACCUUGGACCACUGGACAAAACCCCAAGAGGGAUUGUCAGAAGAUCCUUUGACCAAUCCUGAGGAAAUCUGGUACACUGAUGGAAGCAGCUUUGUCUUGGAUGGAAAAGAAGAGCCGGGUAUGCAGUAGUCUCCAAUUUUGAGACCACAGAGGCUAAGCCUCUGCCACCAGGUCAACAAGCUACAACAUUCAGUGCCAGUUCAACAAAGAUAUAAAACUCCAGCCGACCAUGAAAAAUAUCACACCCUUGGAUGGACACUGCUAUAAGGACUCUGAGGCUUGAGACUAGCAAGAGGGGGAGGCCCAAUACCCCUCGCCAUCCCAGUUCAGC